rnacentral:rRNA from 1 species
GUCUACAGCCAUACCACCCUGAAUGUGCCUGAUCUCUCUGAUCUUGGAAGCUAAGCAGCAUUGGGCCUGGUUAGUACUGGGAUGGGAGAUUAUUUAUUUGGUAGGUUGUUAUUU